UCACCAUUCUGUCGACACAAGAGCCUUCUCCAUUUCCACAUUUUCGUAGGUUUUUGACAUUAUCAGCCUGCCUAGCCUUUUCACGAUACUCGGCUCUCCAAUUCGUGCUACCGAAAAACUCGUGCCAUUGAUAAAAAAAUGUUCCUCUCACGCUUGUUGCAACGUUUUAUAGGUCGAAUUCGCGAAAUCACCAAGUUAAAUAUAAAUUUGAAUAGCAUAUCGUCGC